UACGUCGGGUGCGAGCGUUAAUCGGAAUUACUGGGCGUAAAGCGUGCGCAGGCGGUGAUGUAAGACCGAUGUGAAAUCCCCGGGCUUAACCUGGGAACUGCAUUGGUGACUGGCAGGCUUUGAGUGUGGCAGAGGGAGGUAGAAUUCCACGUGUAGCAGUGAAAUGCGUAGAGAUGUGGAGGAAUACCGAUGGCGAAGGCAGCCUCCUGGGCCAACACUGACGCUCAUGCACGAAAGCGUGGGGAGCAAACAGG
rnacentral:rRNA from 1 species